GAAAGCCUGACGCAGCAAACGCCGCGUGGAGGAUGAAGGCCCUUGGGUUGUAAACUCCUGUCGGCUGGGAAGAAAUCGUUUCGGGGCUAAUACCCUCGGACGUUGACUGUACCAGCAAAGGAAGCCCCGGCUAACUCUGUGCCAGCAGCCGCGGUAAUACAGAGGGGGCCAGCGUUAUUCGGAAUUAUUGGGCGUAAAGGGCGCGUAGGCGGCCAUGCGUGUCUUCCGUGAAAUCCCUCGGCUUAACUGAGGACGUGCGGAAGAAACUGCAAGGCUCGAGUCCGGGAGAGGGGGGUGGAAUUCCCAGUGUAGCGGUGAAAUGCGUAGAUAUUGGGAGGAACACCGGUGGCGAAGGCGGCCCCCUGGACCGGUACUGACGCUGAGGCGCGAAAGCGUGGGUAGCAAACGGGAUUAGAUACCCCGGUAGUCCACGCCGUAAACGAUGGGCACUUGGUGUCGCGGGUAUCGACCCCUGCGGUGCCGAAGCUAACGCAUUAAGUGCCCCGCCUGGGGAGUACGGUCGCAAGGCUGAAACUCAAAGGAAUUGACGGGGGCCCGCACAAGCGGUGGAGCAUGUGGUUCAAUUCGAAGCAACGCGAAGAACCUUACCUGGGUUUGAAGAUCAGGUGACCGGGGGCGAAAUCCCUCUUUCCCGCAAGGGACACCUGGUUAGGUGCUGCAUGGCUGUCGUCAG
rnacentral:rRNA from 1 species